rnacentral:rRNA from 1 species
AGCUAGGAAUCUUCCGCAAUGGGCGAAAGCCUGACGGAGCGACGCCGCGUGAAGGAUGAAGGCUCUACGGAGUUGUAAACUUCUUUUCUGUGAGAAGAGUAAGGACGGUAUCACAGGAAUAAGCCCCGGCUAACUACGUGCCAGCAGCCGUGGUAAUACGUAGGGGGCGAGUGUUGUUCGGAAUCACUGGGCAUAAAGGGUGCGUAGGCGGACUGUCAAGCAAGGGGUGAAAGGCUCUGGCCCAACCAGGGAAUUGCCUUUUGAACUGGCAGUCUGGAGUGCAGGAGGGGAGAGCAGAAUUCCCGGUGUAGGGGUGAAAUCUAUAGAUAUCGGGAAGAAUACCGGUCGCGAAGGCGGCUCUCUGGCCUGCUACUGACGCUGAGGCACGAAAGCGUGGGGAGCAAACAGGAUUAGAUACCCUGGUAGUCCACGCUGUAACGAUGUGUGCUAGGUGUUGGUCCUGAAUGGGAUCAGUGCCGCAGCUAACGCGAUAAGCACACCA